UCGACCUACGGGGGGCAGCAGUGAGGAAUAUUGGUCAAUGGCCGGAAGGCUGAACCAGCCAAGUCGCGUGAGGGACGACUGCCCUAUGGGUUGUAAACCUCUUUUAUAAGGGAAGAAUAAAUGCUACGUGUAGCAUGAUGCCUGUAACUUAUGAAUAAGGAUCGGCUAACUACGUGCCAGCAGCCGCGGUCAUACGUAGGAUCCGAGCAUUAUCCGGAGUGACUGGGUGUAAAGAGUUGCGUAGGUGGCAUAGUAAGUAGCUAGUGAAAUCUGGUGGCUCAACCAUUCAGACUAUUAGCUAAACU
rnacentral:rRNA from 1 species